UGAGGAAUAUUGGUCAAUGGGCGAGAGCCUGAACCAGCCAAGUAGCGUGCAGGAUGACGGCCCUAUGGGUUGUAAACUGCUUUUAUGUGGGGAUAAAGUGCGUGACGUGUCAUGCAUUGCAGGUACCACAUGAAUAAGGACCGGCUAAUUCCGUGCCAGCAGCCGCGGUAAUACGGAAGGUCCGGGCGUUAUCCGGAUUUAUUGGGCGUAAAGGGUACGUAGGUGGUUUUUUAAGUCAGGUGUCAAAGCGUGGAGCUUAACUCCAUUAAGCACUUGAAACUGAAAGACUUGAGUGAAGGAGAGGAAAGUGGAAUUCCUAGUGUAGCGGUGAAAUGCGUAGAUAUUAGGAGGAAUACCGGUGGCGAAGGCGACUUUCUGGACUUUUACUGACGCUCAGGUACGAAAGCGUGGGGAGCAAACAGG
rnacentral:rRNA from 1 species